ensembl:lncRNA
GGGAAAAGUUUCAGUGCAUUCCGUUGAUGUAGACGGCGUGAAAACGGAAACAAGUAUGCCGGCUCACUGUGCUGCAUACAGUUACACACUACGUCGUACGAUUGAGACAAGGAAACUUGGAAUGACUUUUCAUAGGUUUCCCAGAGACUAUGGGUUGAGGAGGAAUUGGAAGUUUGUCGGCUUAGACCUGGUGUCAUUCCAUCAGUGUUAAACUUCCUGGCUCAUCUUGGAAGAGUACGUGCCAGAAAGACCACGACCAAGCAGCCUUGAGAUCUUAGGCAGCGUCUCCCUCAGACCAAAGAACUACAGACUCUUCACAACCUGCUCAAACUCUUGGUACAGGACCUCACCACACGGGUCAAGAAGGUUUCUGUCUCAUUUCUACUCUGAAGCUCACCUUCUCCUGCUCAAACUACUGACAAACUCUCCUGCAGCCUACCAGAAAACCUCUGAGAACAGAGAAUCAGGACAGGAACUCUUACCUUCUGGACAACCAACGUUGGUUCACAAACAAGAACACAGAAUGUGUCUGACCAAAAACCUCUAAAG